AUACGGAGGACGCGAGCGUUAUCCGGAUUCAUUGGGUUUAAAGGGUGCGCAGGCGGCCGUGCAAGUCAGCGGUGAAAGCCCGGGGCUCAACCCCGGAAGUGCCGUUGAUACUGCAUGGCUGGAAUGCGGUCGAGGCGGGGGGAAAGUGGCGGGUAGCGGUGAAAAGCGUAGAUAUGCCACAGAACGCCGAUAGCGGAGGCAGCUCGCCAGGCCUGCAUUGACGCUCGGGCACGAAAGCGUGGGGAUCGAACAGGAUUAGAUACCCUGGUAGUCCACGCCGUAAACGAUGGGCGCUCGUCGUCGGCGGCAGACAGUCGGCGGCCAAGCGAAAGCGAUAAGCGCCCCACCUGGGGAGUACGGUCGCAAGGCUGAAACUCAAAUGAAUUGGCGGGG
rnacentral:rRNA from 1 species